CAUGACUGUGUGGAGAAAGUUCUUUCCCUGAGGACCAUCUGGAGUGGACGCGUGCACUACCCCUCUCUGAAUACACCCUCCCCACGAGGCCCUCUGGAGCAUCCUGUAGAGCCAGCUCUUACCCAGAGACCCUGAGCCCAGAGAAUGUGCUGGGUGGUGAGCCUGGGGACGAAUGCAGAGCCCUAGAUCUCCUCUCCAGAAGUUGGAGUGCCGUGGUGUGGUCAUAGCCCACUGAAGCCUCAAACCUCUGGGCUGAAGCCAUCCUUCCGCCUCAGCCUCCCAAGUAGCUGGGACCAUAGGUGCAUGGCACUGUGCCUGGCACUGUCUGAAUGCAUACAGCUGCGUAGCAUCGUGGUAAGAAUACCCGCCCUGACAUCACACAGACCUGCAUCCACGUCCCAGCUGAGCCUCAGUUCUCACAUCUGCAAAAUGGGGAGAACAACAGCAGCAGCGUCCUGAGGCUGGGGUGAGGACCGAGUGAAAAACCUUUAUCGCAUCUUUGGGCAUCGCAGGAGUUCAAUAAAUGUUAGCUAUCGUUGUCACUU
rnacentral:lncRNA from 1 species